CAACCCUCAAGCCCCUCCGGGCAUGGUGUUGGGGAUCGGCCCCGCAAUCCGGCGGCCGGCCCCGAAAUGUAGUGGCGGUCUCGCCGCUGCCUCCUCUGCGUAGUAGAAACACCUCGCAUUGGGACGCGGCGCGGCCACGCCGUUAACCAGAUGAAUUAUUUCAA
rnacentral:misc_RNA from 1 species